AAUUGGAGGGCAAGUCUGGUGCCAGCAGCCGCGGUAAUUCCAGCUCCAAUAGCGUAUAUUAAAGUUGUUGCAGUUAAAAAGCUCGUAGUUGAAUUUCGGGAUCAAUAUUUCGGUCAUGCCGUUGGUAUGCACUGUUAUCAUUGAUUUCUCACCUUCUAAAGAACCGUAAUGCCAUUAGUUUGGUGUUACGGGGAAUUAGGACUGUUACCUUGAAAAAAUUAGAGUGUUUAAAGCAGGCUCACGCUUGAAUACAUUAGCAUGGAAUAAUGAAAUAGGACAUCCGAUUCUAUUUUGUUGGUUUCUAGGAUCGAUGUAAUGAUUAAUAGGGAUAGUUGGGGGCAUUAGUAUUCAAUUGUCAGAGGUGAAAUUCUUGGAUUUAUUGAAGACUAACUACUGCGAGAGCAUUUGCCAAGGAUGUUUUCAUUAAUCAAGAACGAAAGUUAGGGGAUCGAAGACGAUCAGAUACCGUCGUAGUCUUAACCAUAAACUAUGCCGACUAGGGAUCGGAUGAUGUUAAUUUUUUAAUGACUCAUUCGGCGCCUUACGGGAAACCAAAGUGU
rnacentral:rRNA from 1 species